UACAGAGGUCUCAAGCGUUGUUCGGAUUCAUUGGGCGUAAAGGGCGCGUAGGCGGCGGGGUAAGUCGGGUGUGAAAUCUCAGAGCUCAACUCUGAAACUGCAUUCGAUACUGCGGUGCUCGAGGACUGGAGAGGAGACUGGAAUUCAUGGUGUAGCAGUGAAAUGCGUAGAGAUCAUGAGGAAGACCAGUGGUGAAGGCGGGUCUCUGGACAGUUCCUGACACUGAGGCACGAAGGCCAGGGGAGCAAACGGG
rnacentral:rRNA from 1 species